rnacentral:rRNA from 1 species
AUUGAACGCUGGCGGCAGGCCUAACACAUGCAAGUCGAACGAGUGGCGGACGGGUGAGUAAUGUCUGGGAAACUGCCCGAUGGAUGGGGAUAACUACUGGAAACGGUAGCUAAUACCGCAUACCAUCGGAUGUGCCCAGAUGGGAUUAGCUAGUAGGUGGGGUAAGGGCUCACCUAGGCGACGAUACCUAGCUGGUCUGAGAGGAUGACCUGCCACACUGGAACCGAGACACGGUCCAGACUCCUACGGGAGGCAGCAGUGGGGAAUAUUGCACAAUGGGCGCAAGCCUGCUGAAGCCAUGCCGCGUGUAUGAAGAAGGCCUUCGGGUUGUAAAGUACUUCCAGCGAGGAGGCGUUACUCGCAGAAGAAGCACCGGUUAACUCCGCGCCAGCAGCCGCGGUAAUAC